UAUCGGAUAGUUUUACACAAUAUUAAAAAAGUACAAAUACAAACCUGGUAAUACAUGUAAAUGAUCGUAUGCAAUACAGUUAUUGAUCCCAAUCUGAUCUAUUUCCGAAUUAUCUGCGAAUCCAUCGAGUAGAAACAAUAACCAUGCAAUUCGCUCCGCCAUCUUGAAACGUUAUACUUACUGAACGCACUGAUUGUGUUGCAUUUGUUACAAAGUAUCUGAUUGGUUAUUUCUAAGUAUCGGAUCCAAUCAAAUUUUUCGGGUAACUAGGGAUUCUAACACCUAACAACCCGAGAUUUGUACAGUAAUUCAAUGCUUAAUUUUCGCGGACGAUAUUUGUGUUCCGCGCUUUUUGGAUCUGCGGGGGUCCCCUUUGGCUUUCCAUAGUUGUCAUACACAGGAUCUUUGAGGUGUAAUAAAGAGUCAAGCUCAGAAUCGUAGAAUUAUGUUUGGGGGUCAAGCGAGCUAGUGUUAGCCAAAGUAUAAGCCACACAGAAAAAGACUUAGAGGAUGUCAUCUAAAAAAAUCUUGAAGAAUGCGCCUGACAGAAAAGGCGGAGUGGGCCGAAGGCUGGAAAAGCCAUCACCUUAAUGUGAAGUCAACAGACUCUGGACCAUAUUAAACAGAUAAAAUAGCAAUAUGUGCUAGGUAAAAGAAUUUAUCAGAACAUUUCAGAAUUGUGAUGCUUCUAUUUUGAUCGGUCUGUCACUCUGUCUAUGAACGCUACUCAUUAGUUUGCUCUUUUGAGACAGUAUUUUAUCAAGAAUCUCAUGAAAUGUUGUAAUAGUAAAAGAUCAAAAUAAUAAUUUGAUUUAUUCAAACUAUGUUAAUCUUUUGUUAAUUGUCAAUUUGUUUAUUGACAACAGAUACUUUGUUUAAUAUUAAAAAAAGAAGCUGUG